UGAGGAACAUGACCUUCGGCGGGGGAUAGCCGGCCCAACGGCCGGGUAAUACCGCGUACGACCACAUGGGGACAUCCCUGAGUGGUGAAAGCAGCAAUGCGCCGAUGGAGUGCCUCGCGGCCUAUCAGCUAGUUGGUGAGGUAACGGCUCACCAAGGCGACGACGGGUAGCUGGUCUGAGAGGAUGAUCAGCCACAUUGGGACUGAGACACGGCCCAGAUCCCGUACGGG
rnacentral:rRNA from 1 species